rnacentral:misc_RNA from 1 species
AAAAAUCCCCACUUGCCUUGGUUCCUCUACUGAAAUGAAAAGAUUAUGAUUGCUUGAUUUAUACUGAUUUAUCAAAAAGAAACAUGUCACAGUCUGUGGCGACCCCGCUCACGAAUCCCCACACGGGGUCGGAUUUUCUCGCGUCCACCAACUUUAAAGUGGCCCAGGAUAUGUCCGUCCUAGAGGAGUCUAUGAAGAGCGUUUUUAAGAAGGACUAUCCGCCAUACCAGCACUACGGCCGAGAGAAAGAAUCCGAGCGACCAAAGCUUGCUGAGGUCAUGACCCGAGAUGACACCUUCUUCAAGGACAGAGCCUCUGAAACUGUCCAUGCCGUUUGAGUAUCGCUAUCUCCCAAAGCCGGUUGCUUUAGAUGACAUCCAUCAAAAGCUUCGAUCUACGAAUUUUAAGAUGGAUACUGAUGUUAAUAAAGUGAAUGUAUUUGAGACAAUGCAUACAUCAUACUUUAAACCCAAGAUGACGUCAGCUUAUCAGCGGACAGAGCCGGCGGCUUCAACGUCAGUCAGCCAUAUCCCCCAAGGUGACCCCGAUAAAGCACUGGAACCCUGCUCAGGAUUACCGUGACCGCUUCAUGGGUCACGAUACUUCAGUUCACGUGACCCACAGGGCACCCUCAAUGCAUGAAGGCGGCCCGCCAACAGUGAAGGGAGACGAUCGAAUGACGAAUUUUAAAACGUCCCAUGGCGACCAGUUCCAGGGAAAGUGGGAGAAACCCGUGCAGACCCUGCCGGCGCCUUACGGCUACAACAUCCCUGUCGGAGACCCGGAUAAGGUGACCAUCAACGCCACCACCAUGCAGGACACCUACCCCUUCCUGAGCGACAAGAGCGAGACCAAGCCGUACUGUAAGUCCGCGGUCAGCGCCUACCUGGGGAGGACCAACUUCAAGGAGAGAGACGGGCACGGCAGAUACAACGACUACCUGAGCACCGCCAGUGUCUCCUUCCAGCCCGCGUCCACCCAGUUUGAAAGGUACCGUCCAGGGAAACACCGGAACCACAGCGAUUUCCCCGAGGGGGACCUCCAGGAAUCCAGAGUUGCCGAACGUGUCAACAUGACGACAUCAAGAUUUUACCAUGGCAACCCACCUUUGGGCCUUCACAAUCGGAUUGUCUCGGGAGCUAACCUUAGAACCAAGAGUAACGUGCAAUUUGAGGAGCCACCUCUGACGAAAACGUUCUAUGACACCACCACUCAUAGCACAUUCAAGCCAGCCAACGUUCCCUAUACGUACGACCGUACCAAGUUCCACAAGGAGACCAACAUCCCAAUGGAUUAUUAUGAUAAGAACGAGGUGAAGCCCACUUCUUCCUUUAUGGAUUUUAAGGACCCCAGGAUCGGCAGGAUGAACAUGCACAAUCCUGCCCUGGAAAACUUGAAGAUGUCCCACAUCUUGCCCCCAUUGGGCGGGUCUCAACUGCACAACACGACCCAUCAAGUGAUGUUUACCCCAAAGUCGUCAGAGAAACAUGUCUACGACUCACAGAGGCUGCAGAAAAGUUCCGUUCCUCUGGGAACACUGAAAAUUGUCUAGACGUUUUAGAGUUGUCUCUCUUUGCAAGCUUGAAAUUUCAGAAGUCUUUCACUUCUACUACUAAAUUUCACAAGAGCUUGCAAAUGUCAGCUGUCAAGUAUUUAACUUUGAAUUUAGAGUGCUUAAUGUAUAGGGGGAAAUGCAAUUAAACAUUAAUAUCCCCCCUGAUUUAUUUUGUUAACACUUGUGCAUUAUCAAUGUGGUUAGAUAUAGCAAGAAAAUCCCAGAUAAGACCCGGGUCCCAUCAGGAUAAAUGAUAAAUGUUUAUUGAGGAAUAUAAAGUAUAUUAAUAAAAUUCUUAUCAAAAUGAAAUCAACGAGAGCAAGAUUCAAGGAAAUUAAAGUAUAUUUACAAGGGUUCUUUGAAAUUUUUUAUAGUGUGUGUGUUAAUGGAGGUAGUUUUCAUAACUAUAGACCACCGCCAUGUUUUGUAGUUGUGUAUUGCUUUAACCUAGAUAAUCACAAGUAUGACUUUUAUGAGCAAAUUUUUAUUUAAUUUAGCAAGCAAACAGAUACCCUUACCUGGGUUAUAGUUUAUAUUAAAUAAUAUUUAUUGAAUGCUCAACCUAGUAUUAAAGUCUUGCGUCUUGCCUUAUAGUUUUUUUUUAUAUGUAUGUUGCAAGCAUCAGUAUUAACUAUAUACACUAUACACAGUGCGUCGAAAAGUAUUAGUACUAGCAUUUACAUGCAUAAUACCAACCCUAACAGUAUUACGAUUUUUUUAACUUAUUCAUAAUAAUAAAUGUCUUAUUUUGUUGAUUUGUAUUUUUGAAGAGAUUUAUUUUUAUCGUUUGUUUUACUGAUGCUAUAAAUUGUUGUUGCAUUUUAUGUCCUUUUUGAAGUUUUUAUCGUAUACACAUAAUUUUUAUCAAUAUGUGCCGAGCCCCGUACAGUUUAAAAUUUGUCCAAACUUGUUUAUAUUUAGAGGAGAGGCGAUGGGGCUUGUAGCUUUAUUUAAAUCCAGUUGUUUGUUGCUGUGAAAGUGCUGUCCCUUGUUUAUGUUUAAUGUGUUCAGUAUUCACAAUUGUGUUAUCUUUUAAUGACUUCCUGAAAUAAAGAUUCGUUGAAAACAG